AUUUAGCUAGUCAAAACAAGCAAAGCGUAACUUAAGUUUGCUUUCCCGAAACUAAGUGAGCUACUUUGAAACAGCCUUACGGGCCAACUCGUCUCUGUUGCAAAAGAGUGAGAAGAUUUUUAAGUAGAAGUGAAAAGCCUAUCGAACUUAGAGAUAGCUGGUUAUUUGGGAAAAGAAUAUUAGUUCUGCCUUAAGCCAAACAACACAGUUUAAAGUAACUUAAGAGUUAUUCAAAUAAGGUACAGCCUAUUUGAUACAGGAAACAACCUAGAGAGUAGGGUAACGUCAUUUAAAACGUAAUUAAGUUGGCCUAAAAGCAGCCAUCUUUUAAAAAGCGUCAAAGCUUAAUUAUUUAAUAAUACUAAUUUCAACAAAAAUACAAAACCCACAUUUAAUACCAAAUAACUUUAUAUAAUUAUAAAAGAUAUUAUGCUAAAACUAGUAAUAAGAAAAAGACUUUCUCCUAAAUAUAAGUGUAACGCAGAAUAAACAAAUUACUGCUAAUUACUGUUCAUGACUCAAUAGUAGUAACCUCACUAGAAAACCCUACUAAUUAUAACAUUAAUCUAACACAAGAGUAUUAC
rnacentral:rRNA from 1 species